ensembl:lncRNA
CAACCUCAUUCCUCCCCACCACAGAGCUGACUUCACAAAACCCCUCUCUGACACGCACCACAGGGCAGAUAACUGCUUUGAGCCAAGCCAGAGCUGUGUGCUACCACCAGCCCUCUUGCCAGGAAGGAUUUUUACCAUGAGCUGGUGUCUGUGCUGACACAGAGCAGUCAGUGCUGCUUGGAGAGAAGAAUAAUGUGCUUAGGGCAGAUUGCAGGAGUGUAAAAGCUGCUGCUUCUCACUGGGAAAGUGAUGCCCUCCGAGAUUUGGCCCUCUGUUUCCCAUGUGUUUUGGUCUGAAGUCCUUUCCCAAGGAUGCAGCUUCCCAGUGCCUGUGCUCCAGGAAAACCACAGGAUAAGCAAAGCAGUCAGUGAACCAGAACUAAUGCAAGUGUUUGGCUGUUUGGGAGCAGAGGAGAGAGUGAAGGAAAGGACCAGGACUCAGAGGAGCAGCAGCAGCAGCCCAUCUCCUCCUUGCUACCAGAGAGCAGUACCAGCCUGCUGAGAAAUCCUGGCUUCUACACAGAAAAUCCUCCUCCAAUAAGAGAUCUAUGUGCUCAGGCCUUCAAAGCCUUGAGGCCUGUGAUAUCAAAGGUUUGGGGUUUAUUUGGAAAUUAAGAAUAAAUUCUUCUGUGUUAAAUAUUCUGUACUUUCA